rnacentral:tRNA from 1 species
GUUUUGGUAGUUGAAUUACAACAGCAGUGUUUCAGAUUGCAGGUCUUGGUGUGAGUCCAAGUUGAAAUA